rnacentral:rRNA from 1 species
UACGUAGGCAGCAAGCGUUGUUCGGAAUUACUGGGCGUAAAGCGUGUGUAGGCGGUGCUCUAAGUUUGGUGUGAAAUCUCCCGGCUCAACUGGGAGGGUGCGCCGAAAACUGGAAUGCUUGAGCGUGGGAGAGGAAAGCGGAAUUCCUGGUGUAGCGGUGAAAUGCGUAGAUAUCAGGAGGAACACCUGCGGUGUAGACGGCUUUCUGGACCAUUGUUGACGCUGAGACACGAAAGCGUGGGGAGCAAACAGG